UAUGUGAUCGUCUCUCGCAUAUCAAUAAGCGGAGGAAAAGAAACUAACAAGGAUUCCCCUAGUAACGGCGAGUGAAGCGGGAAGAGCUCAAAUUUGAAAUCUUAAAGGGUUUCCCUUUACGAAUUGUAGUUUAAAGAAGUGUUUUCUGUUGAGGUUUUGGUAAAAGUUCUUUGGAAUAGGACAUCAUAGAGGGUGAGAAUCCCGUAUUUGACCUUUACUUUCAACUUUGUGAUACACUUUCAAAGAGUCGGAUUGUUUGGGAAUGCAGUCCAAAAUGGGUGGUAAAUUUCAUCUAAAGCUAAAUAUUGGCGAGAGACCGAUAGCGAACGAGUACCGUGAGGGAAAGAUGAAAAGAACUUUGAAAGGAGAGUUAAACAGUACGUGAAAUUGUCAAAAGGGAAGCGUUUGACACCAGUGUUGUUUUUCUGAAAAUCAAUUAAAGAACUGUUUAUGCUAAGCUGUUUAGACUUUAUCAGCUAACUGUUUAGUUUUGAGCUUUUCUUUAAUGCACUUUUCAGUUAACAAGUCAACAUCAAUUUCUUUUGCUGUAAAAAAGCUUGAGGAAGGUGGCUUGAGAUUCGUCUUAAGUGUUUAUAGCCUCUUGCCUAUGCAGUCGGAGAGAUUGAGGUCUGCAGCGUAGAUCCUUCGGGGCUAAAUGCAUUUGUGCUAAGUUAUAGCAUUUUAUAGACAACUUGUUGACUAUGAUUUGUCUUGUAGCUUACUCGCUUAUGUUAUUUUACCUACGCUUAGGAUGUUGAUCUGUAGUGCGUGCG
rnacentral:rRNA from 1 species